UAUGAACAUUUUCUGCUUCUGCACUUUAGAAAGUUUCAUUUCUGAUUUCAUGUAAAUAUUUAUGAAUUGAUUUUACAGUUGUGUUGGUAAAUUUCCAUCCCCCUUGUGAAAUGUUCAUGAUAAAAAUCUGUCUUUUAUUCAGUGAUAGUGGUCGAUGAAUCCAUUUAUUAUCAAACAUUGUUAUUAUUACCAAACUUGAACUUAUGUUUGCAGAGGAGUGAUGAAGAGUGAAGCAUGUUGUGGAUCUCUGUUCAGUUCAGACUGAUGAAAGAUGGAUGCAGCAUGUUGAGUUCAUCAGCCUGAACCAAGUUAACCCAAGUUACCUCCUGACCUCAGUCUUUAGUUACCUGUGAAGGCGUGAGGACCACAGACAGGACGACGCCAUCGUCCUCCUCCACGGCGUCAGGUGACGCCACAAACACGGGCUCUGACGGGAAGAAACCCUUCAGCUUCAUGAAGUCUCACCUGAAAGUGUCCCAGCUGUCUCCAGUGUCCCAGCUGUCUUCAGUGUCCCAGCUGUCUUCAGUGUCCCAGCUGUCCUUAGUGUCCCAGCUGUCUUCAGUGUCCCAGCUGUCUUCAGAGUCCCAGCUGUCUUCAGUGAGGUCAAACAUGCUGAGCUCUCUGCGUCACAGCAGGUGACUGUGCAGGUGAGGUCAUGUGACGCAGCACCUGGAGGUGUUUGCAUGUCCGACCAUCUCACCUGCUGCUCCUGCAGGCUUCACGCUGGGAACCACACAUGCAGGUCUGUGAUGUCAUGAUGAAGCACGACGUUAGCGCCCUCGUGUGGCGAGGAUGACGAUGGCUUGAAGAACUGAAGUGUUGGAAGCAGCAGGUGGAGGGAGGCGUGAUACUGCAGCACCCAUUUUAACCACUAGGUGUCACUGACACAAGCAACACUACAUGCAGACAGUUUCUAACAUGCUCAGGUAACUGACGAGGCUCAUCCUGCACAGGUCUGCUCUGUGCUCUGCAGGUCUGCUGUUCACAGACAAACAUUUUCCAUCGGUGGUUUGACCCACUUCAAUAUUCAUUUCUGUUUUUAAAUGACCUGCUUCAUAAAAACCAGUUUAACUUGUUGUGGAACUUGUUUGCAGCUGACUCGUGGUCUAAACCUCGACCUGACCUCUGAAACUCAACGUUAUGUGAAACACUGCUGAGAAUCCUGCAGAGUCCACUUUAACCCAGACAGCAGCACCCAGAGUCCACUUUGACCCAGACAGCAGCACCCAGAGUCCACUUUGACCCAGACCGAGACAAGACGGAGUAAAACUGCAGUCGAUUCAGAGACGAGACAGUCUCGAGGACUACAACAUCUGUACUGAACUCACCUGUUCAGGUUAUAUUAAGGUUUAAAGUUAUGCAGGAUUAAGAGCGUGGACGCUUUGAUUGACAGGUGGGUGUGGCUUCAUUCAGCACCGCCUCAGGUCCAGUGAUGAUCCGUCUUUGCUGAUGUUUAGAUUCUCCAGGAGGAGGUGG